CCUACGGGAGGCAGCAGUGAGGAAUAUUGGUCAAUGGACGAGAGUCUGAACCAGCCAAGUAGCGUGAAGGAUGACUGCUCUAUGGGUUGUAAACUUCUUUUAUAAAGGAAUAAAACGAGGCACGUGUGCCUUUUUGCAUGUACUUUAUGAAUAAGGAUCGGCUAACUCCGUGCCAGCAGCCGCGGUAAUACGGAGGAUCCGAGCGUUAUCCGGAUUUAUUGGGUUUAAAGGGAGCGUAGAAGGGUUGGUAAGUCGGUUGUGAAAGUUUGCGGCUCAACCGGAAAAUUGCAAUUGAUACUGGGAGUCUUGAGUAAAGUUGGGGUAAGCGGAAUUCGUGGUGUAGCAGUGAAAUGCUUAGAUAUCACGAAGAACCCCGAUUGCGAAGGCAGGUUACUAAACUGUGACUGACAUUGAUGCUCGAAAGUGUGGGUAUCAAACAGGAUUAGAUACCCGGGUAGUC
rnacentral:rRNA from 1 species